rnacentral:rRNA from 1 species
GACGAACGCUGGCGGCGUGCUUAACACAUGCAAGUCGAGCGGUAAGGCCCUUUCGGGGGUACACGAGCGGCGAACGGGUGAGUAACACGUGGGUGACCUGCCUUUAGCUCUGGGAUAAGCCUGGGAAACUGGGUCUAAUACCGGAUAUGACUCCGCGGUGCAUGCUGUGGGGUGGAAAGCCUUGUGCGGCUGGAGAUGGGCCCGCGGCCUAUCAGCUUGUUGGUGGGGUGAUGGCCUACCAAGGCGACGACGGGUAGCCGGCCUGAGAGGGCGACCGGCCACACUGGGACUGAGACACGGCCCAGACUCCUACGGGAGGCAGCAGUGGGGAAUCUUGCGCAAUGGGCGAAAGCCUGACGCAGCGACGCCGCGUGAGGGAUGACGGCCUCGGU